rnacentral:lncRNA from 1 species
GCAUACAAAGUUUCAUAUAUUACACCAGUUUCAUCCACGUGCAUACAAAGUUUCAUAUAUUCAUAUACUACAAUAGUUUCAAUACAACCCAUGUUACAAGAAAUCAUCUUCAAGCAUUCCAUCAAUAUUUUCCAAGCUUUCCGUGAAGUGAAGGUAAUCUGCAAAAUGACAAAUAAGAAAGUUAGAAGAAUAAUACUAGAUGAAGUAGUGUAUAUAUAGGUUAUUUCGGAGAGAAAUUAGCUAAGUAUAGACCAUUUAGGAGCUAACUAAGCUAAU